AAACGACGACGGCCAUAUACCAGGGCCGUCCGCCAGGGGACUACGAGCAACAGCUUAAAACCCAAAGGACUUGGCGGUGCUUCAAACCCACCUAGAGGAGCCUGUUUUAUAACCGAUAAUCCUCGUUAAACCUCACCACACCUUGCCAAUACCCGCCUAUAUACCGCCGUCGUCAGCUUACCUCCUGAGAGGACUAUAGUAAGCCAAAGGGGCUACGCCCAGCACGUCAGGUCGAGGUGUAGCGAAUGGUGUGGGACAAAAUGGGCUACAUUUUCUGGUUCAGAAAACACGGAAAACGCCAUGAAAAACGCAACUGAAGGUGGAUUCAGCAGUAAAGGGGGAGUAGAGUGCCCC
rnacentral:rRNA from 1 species